GAGUCAGAACAUGGGUGAUAAGGUCCGUGUUCGAAAGGGAAACAGCCCAGACCACCAGCUAAGGUCCCAAAAUAUAUGUUAAGUGGAAAAGGAUGUGGCGUUGCCCAGACAACUAGGAUGUUGGCUUAGAAGCAGCCAUCAUUUAAAGAGUGCGUAAUAGCUCACUAGUCGAGUGACACUGCGCCGAAAAUGUACCGGGGCUAAACAUAUUACCGAAGCUGUGGAUUGUCCUUUGGACAAUGGUAGGAGAGCGUUCUAAGGGCGUUGAAGCAUGAUCGUAAGGACAUGUGGAGCGCUUAGAAGUGAGAAUGCCGGUGUGAGUAGCGAAAGACGGGUGAGAAUCCCGUCCACCGAUUGACUAAGGUUUCCAGAGGAAGGCUCGUCCGCUCUGGGUUAGUCGGGUCCUAAGCUGAGGCCGACAGGCGUAGGCGAUGGAUAACAGGUUGAUAUUCCUGUACCACCUAUAAUCGUUUUAAUCGAUGGGGGGACGCAGUAGGAUAGGCGAAGCGUGCGAUUGGAUUGCACGUCUAAGCAGUAAGGCUGAGUAUUAGGCAAAUCCGGUACUCGUUAAGGCUGAGCUGUGAUGGGGAGAAGACAUUGUGUCUUCGAGUCGUUGAUUUCACACUGCCGAGAAAAGCCUCUAGAUAGAAAAUAGGUGCCCGUACCGCAAACCGACACAGGUAGUCAAGAUGAGAAUUCUAAGGUGAGCGAGCGAACUCUCGUUAAGGAACUCGGCAAAAUGACCCCGUAACUUCGGGAGAAGGGGUGCUCUUUAGGGUUAACGCCCAGAAGAGCCGCAGUGAAUAGGCCCAAGCGACUGUUUAUCAAAAACACAGGUCUCUGCUAAACCGUAAGGUGAUGUAUAGGGGCUGACGCCUGCCCGGUGCUGGAAGGUUAAGAGGAGUGGUUAGCUUCUGCGAAGCUACGAAUCGAAGCCCCAGUAAACGGCGGCCGUAACUAUAACGGUCCUAAGGUAGCGAAAUUCCUUGUCGGGUAAGUUCCGACCCGCACGAAAGGCGUAACGAUUUGGGCACUGUCUCAACGAGAGACUCGGUGAAAUCAUAGUACCUGUGAAGAUGCAGGUUACCCGCGACAGGACGGAAAGACCCCGUGGAGCUUUACUGUAGCCUGAUAUUGAAAUUCGGCACAGCUUGUACAGGAUAGGUAGGAGCCUUUGAAACGUGAGCGCUAGCUUACGUGGAGGCGCUGGUGGGAUACUACCCUAGCUGUGUUGGCUUUCUAACCCGCACCACUUAUCGUGGUGGGAGACAGUGUCA
rnacentral:rRNA from 1 species